UAGGGAAUCUUCCACAAUGGACGCAAGUCUGAUGGAGCAACGCCGCGUGAGUGAAGAAGGUUUUCGGACCGUAAAGCUCUGUUGUUGGUGAAGAAGGAUAGAGGUAGUAACUGGCCCUUUAUUUGACGGUAAUCAACCAGAAAGUCACGGCUAACUACGUGCCAGCAGCCGCGGUAAUACGUAGGUGGCAAGCGUUGUCCGGAUUUAUUGGGCGUAAAGCGAGCGCAGGUGGUUUUUUAGGUCUGAUGUGAAAGCCUUCGGCUUAACCGGAGAAGGGCAUCGGAAACCGGGAGACUUGAGUGCAGAAGAGGACAGUGGAACUCCAUGUGUAGCGGUGAAAUGCGUAGAUAUAUGGAAGAACACCAGUGGCGAAGGCGGCUGUCUGGUCUGUAACUGACGCUGAGGCUCGAAAGCAUGGGUAGCGAACAGGAUUAGAUACCCUGGUAGUCCAUGCCGUAAACGAUGAGUGCUAAGUG
rnacentral:rRNA from 1 species